UGAUGAAAGGUUAACACACAUGGAAAGUGAUAGGAAGAUAACGUUGAUUGAGUGAUGGGAGGCGGAAAGUCAGGCUGAUAGGGACAGGACUGAGAUUAUCGAACUUAAGAAAAAGAAGAUGGAGAUGGAAAUUAUGAGUAUGAAUGUUGAUAACAUGAAUGCGGUUCAGAGAGAAUACUUCAAGUCACUUCAAAUGAAAAUCAUAGAGAAACGUAGGAAUGAAUUGAAUCAAAUGUAGUAGCUGGAGGAGGGAGAAGUGAAUCAAAGAGUUGUUGUUUGUGCACACCUGGUACUGCUCAUUUUGGAUUUUGCUGCUGAAUUUUAUUGAAUACUCAUAACAGUUAUGUGGAUAGUUUUUGUAACUCAUCAUGUGGAUGUUUUUUGGAACUUCAUGACAGAUGUAUGUUUUUUGGGCUUAGCAUAGCAGAUGUAUGUAACAACUCAUGUG